CGGGGGAUAACUACCCGAAAGCGUAAGUUAUACCGCAUACGCCCUUUUCUGGAAAGCAGGGGAUCGUAAAACCUUGCUUUAUUGGAGCGGCCGAUAUCGGAUUACCUAGUUGGUGGGGUAACGGCUCACCAAGGCGACAAUCCGUAACUGGUUUGAGAGGACCACCCCCCACACUGGGACUGAGACACGGCCCAGACUCCUACGGGAGCCAGCAGUGGGGAAUUUUGGACAAUGGGGGAAACCCUGAUCCAGCCUUCCCGCGUGUGCCAUGAAGGGCGUCGGAUUGUAACGCACUUUUGACAGGAAUGAAACGUCACGAGUUAAUACCUCGCGGAACUGACGGUACCUGCAGAAUACGCACCGGCUAACUACGUGCCAGCACCCGCGGUAAUACGUAGGGUGCAAUCGUUAAUCGGAAUUACUGGGCGUAAAUCGUGCGCAGGCGGUUCCGAAAGAUCGAUGUGAAAUCCCAGAGCUUAACUUUGGAACUGCAUUUAUGACUACUGGGCUAUAGUGUGUCAGAGGGAGGUGGAAUUCCGCGUGUAUCAGUGUAAUGCGUAGAUAUGCGGAGGAACACCGAUGGCGAACGCAGCCUCCUGAGAUAACACUGACUCUCAUGCACGAAAACGUGCGGAGCAAACAGGAUUACAUACCCUGGUAUUCCACGCCCUACACGAUGUCAACUAACUGUUGGGAUCUUCGGGCCUUGAUCGCCCCUCUAAUGCGUGAAGUGACGCCUGGAGAGUACGGUCGUAAGAUUAAAACUCAAACGAAUUGACAGAGGACUCUCAUCAGCGGUGGAUGAUGGGAAUUAA
rnacentral:rRNA from 1 species